rnacentral:lncRNA from 1 species
CAGCGUUGUACCACGCGAAGUUUAUUUUAAAUAAAACCGAACACAGAUGCGCGCUGUGCAACCGCGGUGACGGCGCUGAAAGCGAUGCAGCGAGGGGGAAGGCCGGGCCGGGCCGCUCUCGGUACCCCCCCCUCCCCCCCCCCCCUCCCCAGCGCCCGGACCCGCGCUGCCCCCACCGGGCCGGGGCCUUCAUCCUCCUCCUCCUCCUCCUCCUCCUCUCUCAGGGCUGCGGGCCCCGCGCGGACCCCCCGGCUCAGGGUGGGGCACCGGGGCACCCCCCACCCCCCCCCCCCUCCCAAAGCCAUGGCACAGUGGGGGCGGAGAGGAACUGAAAUAAAUAUGGGGUGAAAGGGGCGAGGGUGGGGCCGGGGCGCGUCCCCCCUGGCAGACGCACGGCCCCGCUCCGCUGUGCGGUGACAUCGGUUUAUUGUGGAGACCGGCGCUGUCCCACGGAGCUGCGAUGGCGGUGGGGUGCGGGGGCUCAGACCUCAAUGUCUAUGGAGGGGUCGGACGUGGGGUGAGGCGCGGCGGGUCAGUACUCGUCCUGCUCCUCCGUCUGCUGCUCCUCCAGCUCGUCGUCCUCCGGCGGGGCGAAGCCCUCCUCGGUGGCGUAGAGCACGCUGACGAUGCCGUUGAUGAUGGGGCUGUUCUCGUUCUCGUGCUCCUGGCAGAUGAGUUCGAUGUCCCGCAGUUUGCCAAAGUAGAAAUCCCUCUCCUUCUCCAGGCCGUCCACCGUCAGCUUCAGGUCCAUCAGCUGCUGGUUGAGCUCCAGGAUCUGUGCGUCAGCCUCGGAGCCCCCGUUGCGGGUGGCAGGGGAGUUUUUCCGCAGGAUGCCGCUGGGGACGUUGCCCAGGCGUGCCGGGUGCUGCGUGUUCUUGGGGCCCGUGGGGGAGGUCCUCUGUGGGACUGGGUUAGGGGCGGGCGCCACGUCCUGGCCCUGCCGUGCCAGCAGCGGGUUGUAUUCCUUCCCGUCGUAGUUGGCGUCAAAGAACUUCUUGAACCAUUGGAUGAACUCAAAGUUGUCCUGGAACUUUCCCUUCACCAGCCUCUCCACUGCGAUGAUCUGCGGGGACGUACGGGCUGGGGGCCGCCCUCCCCGCCCAGCACCCCCUGCUGUGCCCCCCGACCCGCGCCACGACCUACCUUAUCCACUCCCAUCUUCUUGAAGGCGGCCUGCAGCACCUUGAAGUUGUGGAUGUAUUCGUGCUCCAGCUUGGCCUGGAACUUCACCUUGCGCAGAUGCACGCAGCCGGGGAACAGCAUGUCCAUGAACUGGCAGUAGGCAGCCCCUGAGCAGAGCUGCUCGAUCUUGGUGUAGUUGAGCUGCAGGGAGUCGUUGACCCAGGCCAGCAUGUCAUGGCGGCUCAGGUUCUCGCUGGUCACCGAGGUGGAGUACACAUUGACGGCCAUGCCCCAGCGCUCGGGCCGCCCCCGCCGCUCUCCGCUGCCCGCAGCGCUCUGGGGACCGGGCCG